CAGCAGCAGCCGCGGUAAUACAGAGGGUGCGAGCGUUAAUCGGAUUUACUGGGCGUAAAGCGUGCGUAGGCGGCUUCUUAAGUCGGAUGUGAAAUCCCUGAGCUUAACUUAGUAAUUGCAUUCGAUACUGGGAAGCUAGAGUAUGGGAGAGGAUGGUAGAAUUCCAGGUGUAGCGGUGAAAUGCGUAGAGAUCUGGAGGAAUACCGAUGGCGAAGGCAGCCAUCUGGCCUAAUACUGACGCUGAGGUACGAAAGCAUGGGGAGCAAACAGGAUUAGAUACCCCUGUAGUCCCUGUCUCUUAUAC
rnacentral:rRNA from 1 species